rnacentral:rRNA from 1 species
GUGUGAAGGGGGGAUCGCAGGACCUUGCGCUUUAGGAGCGGCCGAUGUCGGAUUAGCUAGUUGGUGAGGUAAAGGCUCACCAAGGCGACGAUCCGUAGCGGGUCUGAGAGGAUGAUCCGCCACACUGGGACUGAGACACGGCCCAGACUCCUACGGGAGGCAGCAGUGGGGAAUUUUGGACAAUGGGCGCAAGCCUGAUCCAGCCAUGCCGCGUGAGUGAAGAAGGCCUUCGGGUUGUAAAGCUCUUUUGUCGGGAAAGAAAUCUCACUUUUUAAUACCCAGUGUGGAUGACGGUACCCGAAUAAGAAGCACCGGCUAACUACGUGCCAGCAGCC